rnacentral:rRNA from 1 species
CCUACGUGAGGCUGCAGUGAGGAAUAUUGGUCAAUGGGCGCGAGCCUGAACCAGCGAAGUAGCGUGAAGGAAUACUGCCCUACGGGUUGUAAACUUCUUUUAUGAAGGAAUAAAGUGAGGCACGUGUGCCUUUUUGUAUGUACUUUAUGAAUAAGGAUCGGCUAACUCCGUGCCAGCAGCCGCGGUAAUCCGGGGGAUCCGAGCGUUAUCCGGAUUUAUUGGGUUUAAAGGGAGCGUAGAUGGGUUGUUAAGUCAGUUGUGAAAGUUUGCGGCUCAACCGUAAAAUUGCAAUUGAUACUGGCAGUCUUGAGUACAGUUGAGGUAGGCGGAAUUCGUGGUGUAGCGGUGAAAUGCUUAGAUAUCACGAAGAACUCCGAUUGCGAAGGCAGCUUACUAAACUGCCACUGACAUUGAUGCUCGAAAGUGUGGGUAUCAAACAGGAUUAGAUACCCUAGUAGUC